rnacentral:pre_miRNA from 13 species
CUCGUCAGGCUCAGUCCCCUCCUGAUAAAUUCCUAAAUAGGUUCCUUUGCGGGGGAAUUCCCUUUUU